AGUGAUGGAGAAACACUCGCCGACAACAUGGAGAUGGGAUCAGAACACACAUGGGAGCACUGACCACUUUGAUGAACAUUUGAGACGAUAAAGUCCUCAUCGUACUACUGAUAGAGUUCUGGGAUCCAGCUAAGUUUUCAAGUUCGUCGAUUGUGAAUUGACACCGACACUUGAGGAAAUCACUAGCUUGACGGAGUUGUCAUUUGCCGAGAUAAAAUCAAUACUGUCAGUUGUCUCUCUAGUAUUUCUAUGAAUAGAGUCAUUUAUGAAAACUGUAUAUUUGCUCGUUUCGUUCGUUUCG
rnacentral:lncRNA from 1 species